AUUAUGCCAUAAAAAACAGCCCAACAGAAAUAGAAAGCCUAUCGGGCCAACAAAUAAGAAUACACAGACCUGCAGGUAUUUAAAAUCUCUUAUGGAACAUGGUAACCCUUUUGUGUAUGUACCAACUAUAGUGUAUUCCAUGAUAUUACAGAUGUAGAAAUGUCCAAUAACUUUUUUGUAUUGAACUUUAUUUUCAAAGUGAUGCAUUGAUCUGUUAUUAAAAAAAUAAAAAUACAAGAUCAAUCAAUAAAUACAUUAAUGAUAAGCAAGUCAAGCGCAACAAUGAAUAAUGAAACAAGAAACUGGCAUUUGUUGAUCCAUGUCAUACAUUUCAUCUGUUUAUUAAUGUACAUAAAUCAUACCAAUCCAUAA